rnacentral:lncRNA from 1 species
AUAAUUUUUUAUCCAAUUAAAUCGAUUCGGUCGGUCUGUCAAACUAUACACUCGAAUGAGCCACAAGUAGGAUCAUUCUCCGGUCUAGUUAGGGCAUUAUAUCCUCUCUUUCUCUUUCUCACUCUUUCUCUCUUGCACUGUGUGUCGGCGCGUACAUUCUACGAAUUCUUCCAAAUCAAAAUCUGUGCGGGACCUUAUUUUUGCUAUUAUCCUGUUGUCUUUUUCGCAAGUGAUAGUUGUACGGAGUAAAUCGUACAUCAGGGUGUAUCGAAAGUCCGUGCAUAUCCGUGCGAUAAUCUAUUCGAGUAUUAUUUGUCUUCUUAUAUAAUAAAGUACGCAUUGCGAAAGUGUCGUAUAAAAUGUCGCGCAAUAAUAAUUAAUCAGAUUUUCGCGAGUGAACCACGAGUGAAUCACGAGUGAAUUGUGUUCUCUUAUACUGAGAGGAUGAGCAGGCUCAGGAGGUGUAUCGGGCAUCGGUGGAGCAACUUUGAGAUCAACUUUACAGAUCAACGGAACAAAAACUCCGCUGCUGCGCAUCGUGCCG